AACGAUGUACCACACCAAGUGCUAACAGCUCAAUUGGUAAAGAUCUCUGACAAAAUCUUAGAGGUCGCCGGUUCGAGUAGCGCUUGGGAUGAAACCAUAUAACAUGCUCUGGUUUCGGGCAUGAGAGGAUGUAUGGGUUUCGGUCCAAAACCUCUUUGAUUAUUCAAAAAAAAAAAAAAAACUAUGUACCACAACAUUAGCUCUUCUCAGCACUUUUAGUUAAAGUUGUUUUCCAAAUCAG
rnacentral:lncRNA from 1 species